GAGCUUGCAACCCCAUCAGAACAACAAUACUUUUUUUUUUACAACAAUACUUUUUUAAAAGGCGCAUUACUAUUCAGUGAUCAUGAGCAUAGAACAUUGAGCUACUAUCAACGAUGAUCCUUAUCAACAAACGUCAUUACUCAGUUACCUGGUAAAGUGAUCAACCACCAGCUGGGACACUCCUUAUGCUGGCAGUUUCAACCCUGCUUCUUUGGGA
rnacentral:lncRNA from 1 species